UCCCGCAGAGUUAAUUUCAUUCGUACUAAUCUUUCGCCUUUUACUAAAGAUUACCGUGGAAUUGACUCGACUCGAUGCGGCUUCAAAAAUUUAUGACCUCCCUUUGGGAGGA
rfam:Aphanomyces astaci strain APO3 cont1.1961, whole genome shotgun sequence.